AGAACUGAGGCGUGCGGCCAAUCCGACUGUUCCAUUUCGCUGCCUCGUGCUACCCCUACAGCCUCGAACACUGACAUUUAAAAGGGUAACAGCUGGGAGGCAGGGAAGGGGCAGCCGCACACUUUCGGAGUGCCUCGCGGUCCCGUGGCCGGUCCGGGCCUCCUGGCUCACGUUCCAGCUUGCGGAGCUUUGGGACACAUCUUCCCUAGUCAGUUGCGCUCGUUCCUAUGGCAAAAGAGAACUUCAGCUUCGGUUUUCCAGCUCCCAAACAGUUAAGUGACUUCCUGCAAACGCUACAGUCCCAGCAACCAGCCUUCCAAUCAAAAUGAAUAAACCAGCAGACCAAUUCAGAGUCCAUUUCAGUGGUGCAGGUGAGAGGUGUUAGAGACCUGGACAAGGUGGUGGCAGAUGAAGAUGGAGAGAAGAGAGAUAGGAUCUCGCUAUGUUGCCCAGGCUGACCUCCUGCCUCAUGCACCCCCCUCACCAAGCUUAACAGUGAUCGGUUCAGGGAUGGACAUGUGACCCACACCUGAUCAAUCAGCUCAAUAAGCAUCAGCCUUGGAACUUUUGCUGAAACUAGUAUAAAAGAGAAGUUCUC